AGGUGUGUGGGGGCUGAGGACACGCCGCUUGAUGGGGGUCCGUGGGGUGCUGCCAUACAGCAUCUCUGUUUCUAUCUGCCGGCUCUUCUUCAGGUGCUGCGGGAGACACGUGCACUUACACACCUGAACACCGUGGAGUUGGUGCACCUCUGUGCCACUGCCAGUGGGCACUGCCCUGCCAACAGCUUGGCAAGGCCAUGCAGCAGGAAUUUCACCAAAGAUUUACAGGCGGUACAGCUGCCACUGCUCUGACACGUAUUCCAUGAACUGCUGCCCCUUAACCAGGAAAGGCUCCUUGAACUCCUGCUCCCAGGCUUGGACCUUUCUCUCCAGCUCCUCCUGCAGCUGAUCAGGACAUGAGCUGCCUGGCCAGCUGGCACCCACCAUCAUAGAAGGGGCUGAAGCCUUCCCUCUGCUCCUGGCUGUAGAAACAUUUGUCCCAGUAGUCAGCCAGCUCUGCCCGGAUUGCCUGGAUCACGGAUUUCAUGUUCUGCAGCUUCAGCUCCUCCAGGUGGUCCACUUCCAACUGCAGCUGCUCCCAGGAUCAGAGCACAGGUCAGGGAGAAAGAGGAGGGGCAGAACAGGAUUCAUCUUCUGCACAAGCCACUUUCUAGGAUGAGGCAGCUGCCAGCACCAACCCUCAGCUCCUCCCCCCACGAGGGCAGGAUUUGGCCCACUCCCUUCACCACUGACUGAGCAAACAGGAGCAUGAGAGCCCCAGGAGCUACUACCCCCAGCCCUCCUGCCUUGGGCAUAGCAGGGUCCUUACAGCUCUCCUGGUUUUGGCUCUGGACCCAUCCAUGUGCACAGCCGAGGUCUCUCUCUCCUCCUGUGGGAUCUGCAGCCUUUCCCAGAGCGCGACAAUCCUGGAGCGCAGCUCUGCGCACACGGCCUCGUUCAGAGCCCGCCGGGCUUCCAGCUGCAGGCAGGGGGAGCAGGGGGUCAGUGCAGCCCUUGGCUCUGCUACACCCGCAAAGCCAUGCACUUGGCACCCAAGAUCACCCCCCAAAAGGAUGUUCUGACAUACAGCCUUGCCCAAAAGCCAGCCGUCACUCUUGCCUUGUGAUGGCAGCUGGUGUCAGAACCCACAGCAGCCCCAAAUGCUGCCUCAGUGCACAGCGUACCUGCUGCAGCAGGUUCUGGAGGGCCACGAUGUUGUCCUUGGACAGGCAGAACUCCUCCUCGUUCUCGCACACCACGUCCCGCUCGAAGCUGGUGUCCGGGGUGUGGUCCAGCUCCUCCAUGAGCAGGAUGAUCUGACGCUUGUUGCUGACAAACUCUUCCCGCCUUUGCUCCUGGGGGUGAGGGGCAGUGUCAGGAACCAGUGGGCCCCUCUUGGGUCCUUCACCAACCCCCUCAGUCUCUCCGCUCACCUUCAGGGUGUUGAGGGAGGCCACGUGGCGCCGGUAGCAGUCCAGGUCCUCCAGGCUGGGCACAGCACUGCUGUCAAUGCUGAACAGGGCUGUGCAUAGGAUAUCACACAGGUCCCGGUCCUGUUCCUGCAGGGCCUUCAGCUCCUGCUUCCGAUCCUGCUUCUGCCUCUGCAGCUCCUCCACACGCAUGCGCAGAUUCUUCUCCAUCUGCAGGAUGGUACUUUCCUCCUCUGUCUGCAAGAGGCCAGAAAUCAGCUCUGCUCUACACCUUUCCCACACCUAGCUCAUGUUUUAGGAUUUUAAAUGAAGUCCAGGGACACAAGCCCUGGGUCUGGGCAAGAUGUUCCCCAGGAAGCUGCAAACAGAGCAGCAAUACACAAAAUGAGGCGACGGAGAACGCCUCACAACUGCUUCUCAACGCCUGGCCUGUAAGGAGCCACAAAGCCCUCAGCUCUACCAAGCACCCAGUUUUGAACAGGCAUUUGCUUUGUGAGAUCUGGCCUCUUGAUACACCUAGGCAGGGUGGCAGCAGGAUCCCAGCAGGGAGAAGCAACACCUCACCUCAAAGGGGCCCAGCUGGAGCUCACUGCACAAGGUGUCCAGCUCCUUCCGGCACACGGCGAUGCUCUUCAGGAGACGCUCCUUCAGGCUCUGCUCCUCCGCCACCAUCAUGUCCAGGAGACUCUGUGGCACAGGCGUGGUUCAAUGCAGGGGGUGAGGAUGGAGAGCACGCAGGGAACAUGCAGGUAGAGCAGGCAGAGCAGCAGG